rnacentral:rRNA from 1 species
GAUGAACGCUGGCGGCGUGCCUAAUACAUGCAAGUAGAACGCUGAAGCUUGGUGCUUGCACCGAGCGGAAGAGUUGCGAACGGGUGAGUAACGCGUAGGUAACCUGCCUCUUAGCGGGGGAUAACUAUUGGAAACGAUAGCUAAUACCGCAUAAAAGUCGGCAUUGCAUGAUGUUGACUUGAAAGGUGCAACUGCAUCACUAAGAGAUGGACCUGCGUUGUAUUAGCUAGUUGGUGAGGUAACGGCUCACCAAGGCGACGAUACAUAGCCGACCUGAGAGGGUGAUCGGCCACACUGGGACUGAGACACGGCCCAGACUCCUACGGGAGGCAGCAGUAGGGAAUCUUCGGCAAUGGACGGAAGUCUGACCGAGCAACGCCGCGUGAGUGAAGAAGGUUUUCGGAUCGUAAAGCUCUGUUGUAAGAGAAGAACGAGUGUGAGAGUGGAAAGUUCACACUGUGACGGUAACUUACCAGAAAGGGACGGCUAACUACGUGCCAGCAGCCGCGGUAAUACGUAGGUCCCGAGCGUUAUCCGGAUUUAUUGGGCGUAAAGCGAGCGCAGGCGGUUAGAUAAGUCUGAAGUUAAAGGCUGUGGCUUAACCAUAGUACGCUUUGGGAACUGUUUAACUUGAGUGCAGAAGGGGAGAGUGGAAUUCCAUGUGUAGCGGUGAAAUGCGUAGAUAUAUGGAGGAACACCGGUGGCGAAAGCGGCUCUCUGGUCUGUAACUGACGCUGAGGCUCGAAAGCGUGGGGGAGCAAACAGG